rnacentral:rRNA from 1 species
UACCGUACCCGUACCGUAAACCGACACAGGUGGAUGAGGAGAGAAUCCUAAGGCCGGCGGAAGAAGCAUUGUCAAGGAACUCGGCAAAAUGGCCCCGUAACUUAGGGAUAAGGGGUGCCUGGGAAACCAGGCCGCAGAGAAUAGGCUCAAGCAACUGUUUAGCAAAAACACAGGUCUAUGCGAAACCGAAAGGUGAGGUAUAUGGGCUGACGCCUGCCCGGUGCUGGAAGGUUAAGAGGAGAGGUUAGCGGUAACGCGAAGCUUUGAAUUUAAGCCCCAGUAAACGGCGGCCGUAACUAUAACGGUCCUAAGGUAGCGAAAUUCCUUGUCGGGUAAGUUCCGACCCGCACGAAAGGCGUAAUGAUUUGAGCGCUGUCUCGACAAUGCAUCCGGUGAAAUUGAAGUACCAGUGAAGAUGCUGGUUACCUGCGCCAGGACGGAAAGACCCCAUGGAGCUUUACUCCAGUCUGGUACUGGGACUCGGUAUUGCAUGUACAGGAUAGGUGGGAGGCUAGGAGAUGGUAACGCCAGUUGCCAUGGAGCCGCUGUUGGGAUACCACCCUUGCAGUAUUGGGUUUCUAACCAGCCGCCGUGACCCGGCGGUGGGACAAUGCCAGACGGGGAGUUUGACUGGGGCGGUCGCCUCCGAAAGGGUAUCGGAGGCGCCCAAAGGUUCCCUCAGAAUGGACGGAAACCAUUCGAAGAGUGCAAAGGCAGAAGGGAGCUUGACUGCGACACCGACGGGUGGAGCAGGUACGAAAGUAGGGCUUAGUGAUCCGGUGGUAUUAAGUGGGAAUGCCAUCGCUCAACGGAUAAAAGCUACCCUGGGGAUAACAGGCUUAUCACUCCCAAGAGUUCACAUCGACGGAGUGGUUUGGCACCUCGAUGUCGGCUCAUCGCAUCCUGGGGCUGUAGUAGGUCCCAAGGGUUGGGCUGUUCGCCCAUUAAAGCGGUACGCGAGCUGGGUUCAGAACGUCGUGAGACAGUUCGGUCCCUAUCCGGCGUGGGCGUAGGAUAUCUGAGAGGAGCUGUCCUUAGUACGAGAGGACCGGGAUGGACGGGCCGCUGGUGCAUCGGUUAGACUGCCAAGUCUACGGCCGAGUAGCCAAGCCCGGAAGGGAUAAACGCUGAAGGCAUCUAAGCGUGAAGCCCCCCUUAAGAUGAGAUAUCCCAUUCGAAAGAAGUAAACCCCCUUGAAGACGACGAGGUAGAUAGGGCAGAGGUGGAAGUGCAGCAAUGCAUGGAGCUGACUGUUACUAAUCGGGUGAGGGCUUGACCAA